UGGCGAGUAUGAGCAAAAGAAGAAGACAUGAAAGAGUUGUGGGGGUUUCGGAUUAAUUUAAUUAAACAUGAGCAAUGUGGUUUUUAAGGUCAAUUCCGCUGUUAUUGGUUAUUACAGUUACUUAUAAAACCAAUAUGGCUACAAAUGUUUGUAAGGUUCAACAUUGUCAUAAAAUCAGGCCUCAAGUCCAACCUUAUCAUUCUAGCAUAUACCGUCAAAGCUUCACCUUCUCUUCCAUGUUUAGCAAGAGCAUAAUCACUGAAGCCCAAAUGUGUGAAUUCAUCUUCGUAAUUGAUGUUAAGAAAAAAACUUUUAUCAAGUACUCAAGGAAGACACAAUUAGAGUAACCCCAAAUUAGAUUGUUUCUUACACACAUGUAGUAAUCUCAUGCUUUUUUGAUAUCAGAAUCAACCGUCUUCAAACUUCUAAUUUNUUUUUUUUUUUUUUUUUUUUUUUUUUUUUUUUUUUUUUUGUACAAGUGAUGAUGACAGUGUGGCGAGUAUGAGCAAAAGAAGAAGACAUGAAAGAGUUGUGGGGGUUUCGGAUUAAUUUAAUUAAACAUGAGCAAUGUGGUUUUUAAGGUCAAUUCCGCUGUUAUUGGUUAUUACAGUUACUUAUAAAACCAAUAUGGCUACAAAUGUUUGUAAGGUUCAACAUUGUCAUAAAAUCAGGCCUCAAGUCCAACCUUAUCAUUCUAGCAUAUACCGUCAAAGCUUCACCUUCUCUUCCAUGUUUAGCAAGAGCAUAAUCACUGAAGCCCAAAUGUGUGAAUUCAUCUUCGUAAUUGAUGUUAAGAAAAAAACUUUUAUCAAGUACUCAAGGAAGACACAAUUAGAGUAACCCCAAAUUAGAUUGUUUCUUACACACAUGUAGUAAUCUCAUGCUUUUUUGAUAUCAGAAUCAACCGUCUUCAAACUUCUAAUUUUACUAUUAGAGAAAUUUUUUAUAAUUGUGGUUAGUGUUUGCUCGUUGGGACAGAGAUCUCUUAGUCCUGACAAACGCAAGCUAAUCACAAUAUGAAAAUUUUCCUCGAUGAUGCAAUUAAAUGUUUUCAAGAUGGUUCAUUCUUAUGUUAUCAAAUAAUCAAAGUACGAGAUUACUACAUCUUUAUGAGAAACAAUCUAAUUAAGGGUUAUUCUAAUUGUAUCUCUUUUGAGUACGCGAUAAAAGAUUUUCAUAACAUCAAGAUUAGGAAGAUAAAUUCGUAUAGUUGGAAUUCACUGAUCAAUGCUUUUUGCUAAACAUGGAAGAGGAGCUAAAGCUUUGGCAGUAUUUGAUAGAAUAAUAAGUUUGGAUUUGAAGAACAAUUAUGUGACAAUGUUUAAUGUUAUAAGCGCGUGUAGCCAUGUUAACUUUAUAAGCCAAGACAUACAAAUUUUCAUUAUACCGACCAUGGAGUUGGCCCCAAGUAAUCAAACUUUGUUCAUAUUUAGUUGACUUAAUCACAAGACCCGACUACUUGGUGGAAGCUAAGUUAUUGAUCCCAAGUUAGCGAGGAAGACUGUCGGUAAGGACUCAUUAAAUAUAAUUUUCGCUAGGAAGAGUUUCCAACAAAAAAAAUUGAAAUGAGGGUAGAAGGACUAGAAACAAUGGUGCUUUAGGAACCACAAUUGGCCAAAUUUGAUAAUAGACAGGUACAUAUAAGUAGCUUCUUUGUUAUCUCCUUUUAUUUUCAACGUAUUUGAAAAUGUCCCCCCUUUUUAACCACUUGUAGCUGUGUUCCUGGCAUUAUUGUCAAUAGCGAUCAUAGCGAUAGCUAUAGCGAAUAAUGAGGCGAGGCGAUGCAAUGUUGCAAUGGGGUUCAAAGUGACUGAAUAGCGACGUAGCGAUAUUUAUUGGUUUUCUUCAAAUUAGAUGUUUUUUUUUCUUCAAGAUUUUGAUUUGGAAGUUAUCAUUCCAAUAAAUGCACAUCCUCAUAACCAGAAAGGUUUGAUGGAAAUGCUGAAGGUAGUGCUCAAACUUCAAAAUUAAGGCUACCAUGUAUUAAAGAAGUUGAAGUUAAUGGUAUCACUGUGAAGAUCAAAUAUUGUGUUGAAAGAUUUGUCAUCAUUGCCCUUGGGUUGGACAAUGUAUAGGCCUGGUAAGAAGU
rnacentral:lncRNA from 1 species